GGUUCGUGGGUGGCCAUUUUGGGAAGGGGCUUCAGAGCUGUGAGGACAGAGGAGCCUCUCAGCGGGAGCAGGGUCACAGCCAUCGAUAAAGCUGUUGCAGCUGCCCCUCAGCCUCUGAGGGACCAGAUUCCCUCUAUUGUUCAAGCUUUAGUCAUGAACUUCUGGCGAAGCUUUGGCACUGUGGAUUUCAUAAUGCUGAAAAGUGAGGAGAAGGAAGCCAGAAGAUUUUUUCCAAGGGAAGUCCUUUCUCUGAACCUUGGCCUGGCGUUUCUGUUGAGAAUGCAGCUCACCUUUGUGCUCCCUCAGUCAGCCCUCAGCGUGGAAGGAGACAGGGGCACAAGAAGACAGCUGGUCAGACUUCUCAGG